rnacentral:snRNA from 11 species
UAACUUAAUGCUAUGAAAAUACAAAAUGAUCAUGCCGGUGGUUUUACCAGGGCACGACUUGUCCAUUGUACUUGGGAUGUGCUAUGAUUUGCCCAAACAUGAGAAAUUCAAUGACACAAGCUGUGGUAGUGGGGGGGCUGCAUUUGUGCUCUCCUCUG